GGGUGGCUCAGUUGGGCGUCUGACUUCGGCUCAGAUCAUAAUCUCAUGGUUCGUGGGUUCGAGCCCCACAGAUCCCG
rnacentral:tRNA from 1 species